CAAAAAAUAGUUUAUUUAAAACAUUAACAUUGGAAGUUAAAAAUAUAUUAAUUUAUUUUUUUGA
rnacentral:tRNA from 1 species